GACGAACGCUGGCGGCGUGCUUAACACAUGCAAGUCGAACGGAAAGGCCCUGCUUGCAGGGUGCUCGAGUGGCGAACGGGUGAGUAACACGUGGGUGAUCUGCCCCUUAUUUUGGGAUAAGCCUGGGAAACUGGGUCUAAUACUGGAUAGGACCAUGCUGUAGGUGGUGUGGUGGAAAGAUUAGUUUCGGUAAGGGAUGAGCUCGCGGCCUAUCAGCUUGUUGGUGGGGUAAUGGCCUACCAAGGCGUCGACGGGUAGCCGGCCUGAGAGGGUGGACGGCCACAUUGGGACUGAGAUACGGCCCAGACUCCUACGGGAGGCAGCAGUGGGGAAUAUUGCACAAUGGGCGCAGGCCUGAUGCAGCGACGCCGCGUGGGGGAUGACGGCCUUCGGGUUGUAAACUCCUUUCAGCCAUGACGAAGCCCUUGUGGUGACGGUAGUGGUAGAAGAAGCACCGGCUAACUACGUG
rnacentral:rRNA from 1 species